rnacentral:tRNA from 1 species
GCCGAAGUGCUGGAAUUGGCAGACAGGCACGCUUCAGGAGCGUGUGCUCAUUAGAGCGUGUGGGUUCAACUCCCACCUUCGGCACCA